GAACGAACGCAGGCGGCGUGCUUUAACACAUGCAAGUCGAACGUGAUUUUUGUGGAAAUUCUUUCGGGAAUGGAAAUGAAAUGAAAGUGGCGAACGGGUGAGUAACACGUGAGCAACCUACCUUACACAGGGGCAUAGCCGUUGGAAACGACGAUUAAUACCGCAUGAGACCACAGAAUCGCAUGAUAUAGGGGUCAAAGAUUAUCGGUGUAAGAAGGACUCGCGUCUGAUCAGCUAGUUGGAAGGGUAAAGGCCUACCAAGGCGACGAUCAGUAGCCGGUCUGAGAGGAUGAACGGCCACAUGGAAAUGAGACACGGUCCAAACUCCUACGGGAGGCAGCAGUGGGGAAUAUUGCACAAUGGGGGGAACCCUGAUGCAGCGACGCCGCGUGAGCGAAGAAGGUUUUCGAAUCGUAAAGCUCUGUCCUAUGAGAAGAUAAUGACGGUAUCAUAGGAGGAAGCCCCGGCUAAAUACGUGCCAGCAGCCGCGGUAAUACGUAUGGGGCGAGCGUUGUCCGGAAUUAUUGGGCGUAAAGGGUACGUAGGCGGUUUUUUAAGUCAGGUGUGAAAGCGUGAGGCUUAACCUCAUUAAGCACUUGAAACUGGAAGACUUGAGUGAAGGAGAGGAAAGUGGAAUUCCUAGUGUAGCGGUGAAAUGCGUAGAUAUUAGGAGGAAUACCGGUGGCGAAGGCGACUUUCUGGACUUUUACUGACGCUCAGGUACGAAAGCGUGGGGAGCAAACAGG
rnacentral:rRNA from 1 species